rnacentral:tRNA from 2 species
GGAGUGGUGUCCGAGCUGGCCUAAGGAGCGCGCCUGGAGAGCGCGUAGGGUACUAGACGUGCCCUCGUGGGUUCGAAUCCCACCCACUCCGCCA